GAUGAACGCUGGCGGCGUUCCUAAUACAUGCAAGUCGAGCGAACGGACGAGAAGCUUGCUUCUCUGAUGUUAGCGGCGGACGGGUGAGUAACACGUGGAUAACCUACCUAUAAGACUGGGAUAACUUCGGGAAACCGGAGCUAAUACCGGAUAAUAUUUUGAACCGCAUGGUUCAAAAGUGAAAGACGGUCUUGCUGUCACUUAUAGAUGGAUCCGCGCUGCAUUAGCUAGUUGGUAAGGUAACGGCUUACCAAGGCAACGAUGCAUAGCCGACCCGAGAGGGUGAUCGGCCACACUGGAACUGAGACACGGUCCAGACUCCUACGGGAGGCAGCAGUAGGGAAUCUUCCGCAAUGGGCGAAAGCCUGACGGAGCAACGCCGCGUGAGUGAUGAAGGUCUUCGGAUCGUAAAACUCUGUUAUUAGGGAAGAACAUAUGUGUAAGUAACUGUGCACAUCUUGACGGUACCUAAUCAGAAAGCCACGGCUAACUACGUG
rnacentral:rRNA from 1 species